rnacentral:lncRNA from 10 species
GCACACAGGAUUGGGAGGGCCAAGCAGGCACCUGGAGCUUGGCAGGGAGGGGGCGUGCAUCUCCAAUGAGACGCUCCAGAAAUAGAGCUUCGGCAUGGGAAGGGAACGAGCAGGCUCUCGGAGGACCGCGAGGCCGGAGGAGCCAUGAGGGGCCAAGGGCAUCUCUUCUUCCCACCUGGAACUCUCGGAAGACAGCCCAGGGGAAAGGUGGAAACGGGCGUGAGCUGCCGCCACCAGGAGCCACCAGCCCAGGAGGCAGCAGCACCGUCCCCUCCUCAAAACAACAACAAGCAAGAACGCUCGGGCCCUCUCCCCACACUGUGGGGUUUUCCUGAUGGCCACAUCCGGCGCUGACUGUGAGGGAGCUAUGGAUGUAUGCUUCUGCGUCAGAAAACCGAGGCCCUGAGCAGCUGAGUAACCCACUCAGAGGGGAGCUUUCCCGACCCACCAGACCAGGAAGGCCUGCGUCGUUCCCUGCUUCUGAAUGCUCAGGACUCUUGUAAACGUUCAAUGCCUGUCUCUCCUGCUAGACUGAGGUCUCUUGGAGGAUAGGAACCACAUCUGUUAUUCACUGUAACCCCAGGACCUUGCACAAAUAGUUUCAGUGAAUGAAUGAGCAAGUGUGAAUGAAUGAAUGACCAAGCAUAUUCCUGGUCACAAAGAGCCUGGAAUGAGGCAGUACAGGUGUUCCACCCAGCCCACCUCCACCAGCUGGAAAAGAACUGUUUGGCUGGUUGAGACGUCGCGUCGAGAAUGACCACCCUCUCUGGAAAGAUGCAAAGAAAGAACAAAUGGCCCCUAGGAUGGGAUUUGGGGUGGGAGAAUUGCUGUUCCAAUUAAUUCUCUAACUGCUCACAAAAAACCCUAACUGAAAAUUCCCCAGUGCACAGGGUUCCCUUGUUCAGCAGCCAGUAUUGGAGGCUGUACUCCUUUCUAUCCAAUCAGGCUCCAACAUGGAAACGGCAUAGAAACCCAGAAAUGGUUCAGCCCACUAAGGGAACUUCGGUCUCAGUUCUCAGAGUCCUUCUCCGAGGCCUGUCCCAAAUUUGCAAUAAAACUUGUUUUUAGGCCAGGCACGGUGGCUCACGC